CAGCCAGCUGAUUUGACAAACAAAUGUGAAAAUUUUAAAUAGAAAACAAAAAUUAUUUUAUUGUGCUGUUUAUGUGAUUUUUCUAUUGUUUAAUUUAAAUAAAAUCGAUAGUGUUGUGAACUUUUGGCUUCUAAAGAAAUCCAAUUUCACAAAACAAAAAAAUUUUAACAAUCCUAGAUCUCCAUUUGUUCAAAGUUUAACAGGAGUUGUUUGAUUUAAAGAAAUUCUAAGAAAAGAAUAUCCAGGACAAGUCUGGGACACGUUUGGAAGCUGGAACUCACCGCCAGAGACUGCUGAAAUGUGCUAGCUACAAGAGUUUCAUGACUUACUAGCUAAAUCUCAACAUUAGCAUUUGCUGCAAACUUAUUCUGGUUUGGAAACUAAUUUGAGGAGAAAGGUCAAUACUAUUUUCGAUGAAGAAUCGUGCCAAUGAUUAAAUGAAACGUUUGGCAUUAAAAGUUUCAAUGUUCCAAUCUGUCCACUUUUGUUGCCGGUGGCAGCUUUCUAAAAACAUAUGGCACAAGUAGGUACUGAAGUCCCCGUGCGAUUUAACGCAGUUUGAUGAAAUGCUCACACCCUACACGGCUGAGCACAGAAACAAACAACAUUUGCAACCAGGUUAUGAUACCCAUAAUGAUACGACAAUAUGGGAUAUAAUUGAAGUGAAUUUGGAACAACAUGUUGCACUUGGUCAUAUCGACUUAAAGCUCUCACUUUACCAACCAUGCGCCAAUCCGGUUGCAAUUCAAGUGAUAACAUUGAAUUUCCAUUAAAUAGUCAUGGAGUUCAUGAGAAUAGUUCUAACUGAAGAAUACCUUCAAGCUCACAAUGCAGAAAUAAUUAGUUCGACCAGUUGAAUUUUCUUGCAUGGAUUUAUGCAAUCAAGGAGAAAAUGUCACUAUAACUAGCCCAAAGCUAUUCAAAACACGUAAUUUUUUGUUGCAUUUUGCAUAUCAAACCGACCCAGCUAAAGAAGGACAAAAAAAAAAAACAAAAAUUGAGUAAAUUUUUCAUGGUAGAAAUGUAAGUAAUAUUGUCAUUGAUUUGGUCAGGUUUAUUUUUAUUUAAAUUUAUAUAAACUUAUAACUCUGUGGCAACAAGGAAUAACAAAACAACAUAAGUCAACUUAUGUCGAAAUUGAGAUUUUUACAGAAUCUGAUGCGCAAUAAGCGAUUCUAUCUACCAUAUUUUUUUCGUUUUUUUUUAUCUUAAGUGGUUUAUGAAUUACAGGUAAAAGAAAAAUGAUAUUAGCAUUGACUUGUGAUGGGAAGCCAAACUUUCAAAACGCUCUCCUGAAAAGUUGUAAAAACUGACUUAUGUUGUUAUUCCUUGUUGCCAUAGAAUUAUGUAAGCUGCUUAGAAUAUAUUGAAUUUUAAGUGCGAUGAUUUCUUGGCAAUACAUAUUGAUUUAUAUAAAUAAUUAUCGAAUUUUAUCUUAUAAUUGGAUUUUUUGUUUUUAAGUAUUUAAUAAAUAAAUAACAAUAGUUUUGUUUUAUGUCUAAACAUUUUUUUCUGGAUUUUUUUGUUUUGUUUAUGAUGUUUCAAUUAUGGCCUGCAGCGAUUGUUGCUAAACCACAAAAAUGUUAAAGCUUAGCUUAUAUUGUUAUUAAGAAAAAAGUAAAAUCAAUUGAAAUAACAAAAAGCGAGUCCUACAUAUGCACUAUCGGACUAAAGAGUUAAAACUGCAGCUCGGUUUGGAAUAUUUUCAGAGGUGGCAGCAAAUUCCGACAAAACCAUUCUCUCCGACAUCUGCAGAUGAGAUCCAAGAAUUCAAAGUAAUGUGCUAAAUUUUGUAUAACUUUCUCCAAACUAUCAAAAAUGAUUUUGACUGCGUUUAUCCUUGAGUUAUGUUACUAAAGACAAACUCUCCCAUAAGAAUAUCUUUUGAGUCGUGUACCAGCUGUAAGAAAAAAAACCCUUAGACAUCAAUUUAUAUUUAUUUACAUUUGGAGAUACCUUAUUUUUUUAUUUAAUAUUUGCUUUAUUGGCGAUAAAGCUUUAAUGGAUAUCGAAUGAAUAUACAUCACAAUAGCAUUUCAGCAAAUAAGUUAUUUUUGCAUGUCUUAAAAACCCUUUCAGCAUUGGAAAUAAUGUCAGAUCAUACAUUUGUUUCGAAAACAUAUCAAUAAAAUUCGAGUUAAAAUAAAGUUCUAAUGAGACUGUGCCACGUAUUGCAACCGAGACCACAUCACAUCACAUCAUGAGCAUGCACAGCUUUCUUAGAAUGUUCCUUGGUUAACACACAGUGAAGAUUAGUGUAACUACAAAGACAAUUGAAAAGAACUUGAUGAUUUUAAUAAGUUCCGUAUUCAUUUUCCUGUAGUAAGCCCAUUGAAGUGUCAACCCUCAAGACGUCAUCAAAGUGGAUUGUAUUCGGCAAUUUUUGCCGGAUAGAUUUCUUCGACUUUAGCAAUAAACAGACAAGUGAUACCGAUCAAUUGCAAAUGUGUCUUCUGUACUCUCUUUUGGGUACUCAAACAUCUAUCUAAAUAGUCAAAUGCAAGGUAAUAGUAAUAGACCAGGAUGAUUAUCCAACAUUGUCGAAUCACGGAGGUACGAGGCAGCUUCGUCUUUCUUACACAUAAAAUUCCACACGUCAGAGGCAUGGGCCAUGACUGUGCAGGGACGUGAACGCGGUUCAGAUGGUUCAACAGGUGUCAUACAGACUUCGACUUAAUGUACAUUCACUAUUCGAGGUUGUGGAUGCUGUUUCUAAUGAGGUGUGGGCAGACUGUUGUAAGUUGGGGGAGUUCGGUUACAAUCCAAAGUGCUGCGGGUAUCGAUUUCAACAAAUUCAUCAACUGGCGAUAGAUAGACAGAUGAUGGUACUGAACUCGAUGGAUCGUUGUUUUGUGUUGUUGUUGUUGUGUAGCAGGUGGAUGUGUUGACGUGAUCAAUACCCAAUUCAGGAUACUAAUCGUCCAAAGGUGAUGACGAUUGUCGUUUUCUUUUCGGCGGUGUAUUAACAUUGUUACUUAGGCGACUAGAUGUUGUUUGGCAGGACGAAGAUGAGAACCAUUGUAUAGCUGUAUAUGCCGGGCUACACGGUGAUUUUUCAAUCGCCUAACCAGUCAGGUUGUAGGAAUGAGGGGUGAGGAUUUUCCUCUUUUUGACGUUUGUUCCUAGAAAACGUAAAUGGAAAUGUGAUUGGGUACAACACUGUGUAGCCAGGCACUAUCAUCAUCACUAUUUGUAUCUAGGCCUACGUUGAUUUUUUUAGUCUUCAAUCUUCUGCCGGAAGUUGAUGAUGAAAUACACUCACUGUUAGUUUUCUUCCUUUUCUUAUUUCUAUUGUUGCUGUUGUUGCUGUUAUUUGGUUGAAUCAUUGCUGUUGCUAUUGAAAUUGUCAUUUUUAAAUUGGGAUUUGCUCAGGAAACAUAGUAAGCCGACUUGAUAGCCGUAUAGAUGCCUUGAGAGUUUUACUUUAUUGGAAGCAGGGUCCAUGUUCUGUAAUUUUUUUCAUUGGCGAUCAAAUAUUUGAAUGACUUUAAAAUCUAUUUCAUCUCAUCAAAUGCUAGGACACGUCUGCGCUAGCAUUGAAUCGAUGUCACUCUUUGGAAAAGCAUCGCGUGCACUCAACAUUUGCUUGAAGAUAAUGCCGUUAAUAAAG